AUUGAACGCUGGCGGCAUGCCUUACACAUGCAAGUCGAACGGCAGCGGACCUUCGGGUGCCGGCGAGUGGCGAACGGGUGAGUAAUAUAUCGGAACGUACCUUUCAGUGGGGGAUAACGUAGCGAAAGUUACGCUAAUACCGCAUAUUCUGUGAGCAGGAAAGCAGGGGGAUCGCAAGACCUUGCGCUGAUUGAGCGGCCGAUAUCAGAUUAGCUAGUUGGUGAGGUAAAGGCUCACCAAGGCGACGAUCUGUAGCGGGGUCUGAGAGGAUGAUCCGCCACACUGGAACUGAGACACGGUCCAGACUCCUACGGGAGGCAGCAGUGGGGAAUUUUGGACAAUGGGCGCAAGCCUGAUCCAGCCCAUGCCGCGUGAGUGAAGAAGGCCUUCGGGUUGUAAAGCUCUUUCGGCCGGGAAGAAAUCGCACAGGUUAAUACCCUGUGUGGAUGACGGUACCGGAAUAAGAAGCACCGGCUAACUACGUG
rnacentral:rRNA from 1 species